CCUGUCAUGGAAAAGAAACUAACAACAACAACAAAAAAAAAAAAAUCAGAAAAAAAUAAAAUAAGCAUCUGUUGUUUAAAAAAUAUCUCAGCCCCUCAAAAUCAGGAGAGCGUGGUGAGCACAUCAGUGUAGUAGGGGAACUUAGUGGGCCUCACUGAGAAGAUGGCAGUACACUACAGAGUUGACUGGACGUGGGUAGCAAUGAACUCAGGUGUCUAGGAAAGAGCUUCACAAAUGGGAGGAAUCUGGAAUAAAUCCUAUUUUGAAAUACCCAGUUUUCUUAAAUAUUCUAGAGAUUUUGACAUCCAACUCUAUUAUACUCUGGCUUAUUUCAUAUGAUGGCUUCUUCCUAAAUGUUUUGGGGAAAUGAAGGGAAGAAACAACUUGGUACACCAGUCCCAAGGCACAAAGUCAGUAUCCUCUUAUCCCGGGGCAGGCUCCGCCCAUAGGCUCCGCCCACAUGCGCGGUGCCGCGAAAGCCACGCCUCUGGAAAUGCGUCGCGUCCUUGCGCACGCGCUCUCCCAUCUUCCUUGACCUCUGACCCACCAGCCACCCUUGAGCUGGUCCCACUGGGUCGGGAAGCGGCACCCGUCCCCGUAAAGUGGAGCGGCCGCCAUGCAAGCCAGGCAGCCGCUGAUGCUCGAGGCCGUGCUGGGCACCAGUCUGCAGCUGCAUCCAAUCUCUCUGGCCUCAGCCUCCAGGAAGCCCAGCAGAUUCUCAACAUCUCUAAGCUGAGCCCUGAGGAGGUGCAGAAGAAUUAUGAACACCUGUUUAAGGUGAAUGAUAAGUCCGUGGGUGGCUCUUUCUACCUGCAGUCAAAGGUUGUCCGUGCAAAGGAACGCCUAGAUGAGGAACUCCGAAUACAAGCCCAGGAAGACAGAGAGAAAGGGCAGACGCCCAAAACGUGACUGCUGGGCUCUCCACACCCACCCAUUGCCUCAUAAUUUAUAGCCUAGUAAUAAAUGUCUUUUCGUGUUUCUCCACU
rnacentral:lncRNA from 1 species